AACGAACGCUGGCGGCAUGCCUAACACAUGCAAGUCGAACGAGACCUUCGGGUCUAGUGGCGCACGGGUGCGUAACGCGUGGGAACCUGCCCUUAGGUUCGGAAUAACUCCCCGAAGGGGGUGCUAAUACCGGAUAAUGUCUUCGGACCAAAGAUUUAUCGCCUUUGGAUGGGCCCGCGUUGGAUUAGCUAGUUGGUAGGGUAAAAGCCUACUAAGGCGACGAUCCAUAGCUGGUCUGAGAGGAUGAUCAGCCACACUGGGACUGAGACACGGCCCAGACUCCUACGGGAAGCAGCAGUGGGGAAUAUUGGACAAUGGGCGAAAGCCUGAUCCAGCAAUGCCGCGUGAGUGAUGAAGGCCUUAGGGUUGUAAAGCUCUUUUACCCGGGAUGAUAAUGACAGUACCGGGAGAAUAAGCUCCGGCUAACUCCGUG
rnacentral:rRNA from 1 species